rnacentral:rRNA from 1 species
UACGUAGGGGGCGAGCGUUGUCCGGAUUUAUUGGGCGUAAAGAGCUCGUAGGCGGUCUGUCGCGUCGGAUGUGAAAACCCAGGGCUCAACUCUGGGCCUGCAUUCGAUACGGGCAGACUAGAGUACGGCAGGGGAGACUGGAAUUCCUAGUGUAGCGGUGAAAUGCGCAGAUAUCAGGAGGAACACCGGUGGCGAAGGCGGGUCUCUGGGCCGUAACUGACGCUGAGGUACGAAAGCGUGGGGAGCGAACAGG